rnacentral:rRNA from 1 species
GAUGAACGCUGGCGGCGUGCCUAAUACAUGCAAGUCGAGCGAACAGACGAUGAGUUUGUUCCUUUCUCGUUUGCGGCGGACGGGUGUGUAACAUGUGGAUAACCUCCUUAUAAGUCUGGGAUCUUCUCGGGAAACCGGCGCUAAUCCCGGAUAAUAUCCUGCACCGUAUGGUUCAAUAGUGAAAGUCGGUUUUGCUGUCACUUAUCGAUGGAUCUGGGCCGCAUUAGAUAGUUGGUAAGGUAACGGCUUAUCAAGGCAACGAUGCGUAGCCGACGUGCGAGGGUGAUCGGCCACACGAGAACGGGAACACGGACCAGGCGCCUACGAGAGGCAGCAGUAGGGAAUCGGCCGCAGUAGGCGAGAGCCUUGCGGAACAACGGCGCGUGAGAGAUAAAAAUCUUCGGUGCGUGAAGCUCUGUUAUGGGGGAAAAACAGAUGUGUAAGUAACUAUGCACGGCGUGACGGUACCUAGUCAGAAAGCCACGGCUAACUACGUG